UGUCUCCCUCCCCUGAUCCCCUCACUCUCUCCACUCCCAGACUCCCAGUCCACUCACGAUGCCAGAUCUCGGCGAGUCACCCAUUCCACGCCCUCCGCUCUCGCCCCCACAGCCGGCGACCUCGUCUCGCACCGCCGCCUCCUCUCAUCCCCUCCCCAGCUCCCCUCCACUCAUCCGACGGCGGCUAGAUGCGCACACAACCGGCGACCAACAUCACACAAAGGUCGCCACCACCGGCGGUGGAAGGACAGUCUUCUCCCGCCGCUAGCCGCAGCCUCCGCCUCGCCCUGAUCCUCGGCAUCCUCGACCGCCACUCGCUCUCCUCGGAAGCACCUCGCCGCCUCCCUGCCCAUGCCGUGUUCGCCGACUGCCCUGCUCGCGCCGACCUCGCCAAUCUCGCGGCCGCGCUUGGCAGUGCUCAACUUGUCCUCGCCGCCGCCAGCGGCGACGGGUCCUUCCUGUGCCUCUGCCGCCUCGUGGCCGAGUCCUCCUCUCCCCAAAUCGACACCCGCCCCCUUUGUCAAGCCUGCCGUGCUAGCGACAUGAGCAGGAUGGUGUACACCGGCUUCACAGACAUGUGGCCGUCGAGGCUUCGGAUGAGGUCGACGCGGAUGAGAACAGUCCAUAGAGCCGUACCAGGCAGAACAAGCUGUUCCAUGCAUGGGGUCUGAUUACAAUAUUUUCGGAGAUGCAUAAUAUGCCAAACACUUCUAAAGGUGCAUCGUCCAUGGGCGCAUGAUAGUGGAAAAACAUCUGUAAAUUGUGCAGGAUCCUAUAGAGCAAAUGGGCAUCAUCGACGUGUAGUACACGCUCUCUUAGGCAGAUAAGUAACCUCAGACAACUUAUUUUGCGAAGAUCGGUGGUUCAUGGUCUGAAAGUUUUGUUUUUCUCUCUAAAUUUUGUACUUAGAUAAUCCCUUAAAUGCUUUUUACUGCUUGAUCACAUAAUACAUGUCCGUGCAAGAAAGGAGUUGUUAACUGAAACAAUAAUGUUAAUUUUUGUUGUUAACUGAAACAAUAAUGUUAAUUUAUGUUAACUACAAACUGUCUUGGACAUUGGUUUUUUCAAAUUAACUCCGUGUUGAACUGGUUCUUCUUGUUGUGUGCUGCAGCCCAGCAAUCUGUUCAUGCCAAAUGAUUGAGUCCUGGUGAGGUUCAUUGCUGGACAUGCACGGUCUCCGCAGGCAAGGAACACAUAAAAGUAAAUCAGCGUGUUAUCAGAAACUCAUGAGCAUGAAAGAGAAAUUUGGAUCAUGUGCGAACAUGGGUAGAGAGCAGAUCGAGGAGAACUUGAAGAUUAAAGGCAAUGAAAGGUCUAUACACAUUAGCAUCCGAACCAGAACAAUCAAGUUCAAAGCUCUCAUGGUUGACUGGAGGUUCCGUAAAAUGGCAGCGGGUAGAGUUCUUGUCCUGCACAAAGGAAGGUUACUUCGGUAGAACGUCAGAAAAAUUAUAGCCGGGGUUAGGAUACCUCUCGAGAAGCAGUAUAUGCCUCGCUAGCACACAAGAACAGUCAGGAUCAUGUACGAAUCGGACGAACAGUUGGGGCUAUGUCACACCACCAAUCGAACAGUUCCGCGCCGGGACCCGUGUCUCGCUCGCAGCCGCGCCGGCACCCGUGGAUCGCUGGAAGCCUCGCCGGCACCCGUGUCUCGCUGGCAGCCGCGCCGGCACGGGGGGCAAAGUUUGAAGAAACAGGCCUCGCACACCUGAUCCGACGGCAAACUUUGAAGAAACAGUUCAAAUCCACAUGAUCCGAAUGCAAACCUGGAAGCGUGGAGAAUCAGGCCUUGACUGCCCCACUCGAAAGAUAGGAUUUGAAUUAGUUUAACCAGAA